rnacentral:rRNA from 1 species
UACGUAGGGUGCGAGCGUUGCCCGGAUUUAUUGGGCGUAAAGAGCUCGUAGGCGGUUUGUCGCGUCUGCCGUGAAAGUCCGGGGCUCAACUCCGGAUCUGCGGUGGGUACGGGCAGACUAGAGUGCAGUAGGGGAGACUGGAAUUCCUGGUGUAGCGGUGAAAUGCGCAGAUAUCAGGAGGAACACCGAUGGCGAAGGCAGGUCUCUGGGCCAUUACUGACGCUGAGGAGCGAAAGCGUGGGGAGCGAACAGG